rnacentral:rRNA from 1 species
GUCUCUUUGAUAUAUACGUAUAAAGAGUCGAACCUGCCCGGUGAUAUUUAAUUAAACGGCCGCAGUAUCUUGACUGUGCGAAGGUAGCAUAAUAAUUUGCCUUAUAAUUGAUGGCUAGUAUGAAGGGUUUGACGAAAGCAUUUCUGUCUCUAAUAUAUUAUUUAUAAGUUAUCUUUUAAGUUAAAAGACUUAAAUAAAAUUAAAGGACGAGAAGACCCUAUCGAGCUUUAAAAAAUUAUUGGAAAAAAUAUAUCUAUUUGAAAUUUAUUUUUCUAAAGAAUUUUUGGUUGGGGCGACUAAGGAGCAAUAAAAACCUCCAUUAUAUACAAAAAAUUAAUACAAAGAUCCAACAUAAUGUUGAUAAAUGAAAUUAGUUACCGUAGGGAUAACAGCGUUAUCUUUUCUGAGAGAUCUUAUUAAGGAAAGGGCUUGCGACCUCGAUGUUGGAUUAAGAUUACUUAAAGGUGCAGAAGCUUUUAUAAGUUAGUCUGUUCGACUAUUAAAAUCUUACAU